rnacentral:sRNA from 12 species
CGGGUAGACGAGCUGGCCCCGAUUGAAGUCCAGUUCUAAUGUUUAAAAAGGUAAUAUCAUG